rnacentral:lncRNA from 1 species
AGAAAUUUGAUGUACUAUACAAUUGAGUAUAGAAAUGGAGAAAAUGUUAAAAGACAUCGACCCGACAUAUCAGAAGAUAACAGUCAAAGGCUACCAAUGAUUUUUCAACGCCGCAAGAAAAUCCUGCACCAGCUUAUUUUAUUGGAAAUGGUGCUGAUGAUGCUCAAUUCUGGAACAUUCUUAUGAUAAAAUCACCACCAGCAGAUAUAAGUCCUACUAAUAGAAGCCAUAUUGUUAUAUACAC